rnacentral:rRNA from 1 species
GUUGUAUGGUUAAGUGACUAAGCGUACAUGGUGGAUGCCUUGGCAGUCAGAGGCGAUGAAGGACGUACUAACCUGCGAUAAGCUGUGAGAAGUCGGUAAGAGACGCUAUUACUCACAGAUUUCCGAAUGGGGAAACCCACCCGAGAUAACUCGGGUAUCUGUUACUGAAUACAUAGGUAACAGAGGCGAACCGGGAGAACUGAAACAUCUAAGUACCCCGAGGAAAAGAAAUCAACCGAGAUUCCCUCAGUAGCGGCGAGCGAACGGGGAUUAGCCCUUAAGCAUCUUGGAAGUUAGUGGAACGGUCCUGGAAAGGCCGGCGAUACAGGGUGAUAGCCCCGUACACGAAAACAACCUUGAUGUGAAAUCGAGUAGGGCGGGACACGUGACAUCCUGUCUGAAUAUGGGGGGACCAUCCUCCAAGGCUAAAUACUCCUGACUGACCGAUAGUGAACCAGUACCGUGAGGGAAAGGCGAAAAGAACCCCUGUGAGGGGAGUGAAAUAGAACCUGAAACCGUGUACGUACAAGCAGUGGGAGCCCUUCGGGGUGACUGCGUACCUUUUGUAUAAUGGGUCAGCGACUUACAUUUUGUAGCGAGGUUAACCGUAUAGGGGAGCCGUAGGGAAACCGAGUCUUAACUGGGCGUCUAGUUGCAAGGUGUAGACCCGAAACCGGGUGAUCUAGCCAUGGGCAGGUUGAAGGUUGAGUAACAUCAACUGGAGGACCGAACCCACUAACGUUGCAAAGUUAGGGGAUGACCUGUGGCUGGGGGUGAAAGGCCAAUCAAACUCGGAGAUAGCUGGUUCUCCCCGAAAGCUAUUUAGGUAGCGCCUCGGACGAAUACUACUGGGGUAGAGCACUGUUUGGGCUAGGGGGUCAUCCCGACUUACCAACCCCAUGCAAACUCCGAAUACCAGUAAGUAAUAUCCGGGAGACACACGGCGGGUGCUAACGUCCGUCGUGAAGAGGGAAACAACCCAGACCGCCGGCUAAGGUCCCAAAGUUCUGGUUAAGUGGGAAACGAUGUGGGAAGGCUCAGACAGCUAGGAUGUUGGCUUAGAAGCAGCCAUCAUUUAAAGAAAGCGUAAUAGCUCACUAGUCGAGUCGGCCUGCGCGGAAGAUGUAACGGGGCUCAAACCAGGCACCGAAGCCGCGGAUUCACACUUAUGUGUGAGUGGUAGGGGAGCGUUCUGUAAGUCUGCGAAGGUGUAUCGAGAGGUAUGCUGGAGAUAUCAGAAGUGCGAAUGCUGACGUAAGUAACGAUAAAGGGGGUGAAAAGCCUCCUCGCCGGAAGACCAAGGGUUCCUGUCCAACGUUAAUCGGGGCAGGGUGAGUCGACCCCUAAGGCGAGGCCGAAAGGCGUAGUCGAUGGGAAGCAGGUUAAUAUUCCUGCACGACUUGUAAUUGCGAUGGGGGGACGGAGAAGGCUAGGUGGGCCAGGCGACGGUUGUCCUGGUGAAAGUGCGUAGGUGGUGUUUCUAGGCAAAUCCGGAGACACAACACUGAGACACGAGACGAACACACUACGGUGUGGAAGCCAUUGAUGCCCUGCUUCCAGGAAAAGCCUCUAAGCUUCAGAUUACAAGUCAUCGUACCCCAAACCGACACAGGUGGUCGGGUAGAGAAUACCAAGGCGCUUGAGAGAACUCGGGUGAAGGAACUAGGCAAAAUAGAACCGUAACUUCGGGAGAAGGUUCGCUCUUGACAGUGAAGUCCCUUGCGGAUGGAGCAGUUGGGAGUCGCAGUGACCAGAUGGCUGGGACUGUUUAUCAAAAACACAGCACUCUGCAAACACGAAAGUGGACGUAUAGGGUGUGACACCUGCCCGGUGCCGGAAGGUUAAUUGAUGGGGUUAGCGCAAGCGAAGCUCUUGAUCGAAGCCCCGGUAAACGGCGGCCGUAACUAUAACGGUCCUAAGGUAGCGAAAUUCCUUGUCGGGUAAGUUCCGACCUGCACGAAUGGUGUAACCAUGGCCAUGCUGUCUCCACCCGAGACUCAGUGAAAUCGAAUUCGCCGUGAAGAUGCGGUGUACCCGCGGCUAGACGGAAAGACCCCGUGAACCUUUACUACAGCUUGGCACUGAACAUUGAACCUACAUGUGUAGGAUAGGUGGGAGGCUUUGAAGGCGUGACGCCAGUUGCGCUGGAGCCGUCCUUGAAAUACCACCCUUGUAUGUUUGAUGUUCUAACGCAGGGCCCUGAAUCGGGCUCGCGGACAGUGCCUGGUGGGUAGUUUGACUGGGGCGGUCUCCUCCCAAAGAGUAACGGAGGAGCACGAAGGUUGGCUAAUCCUGGUCGGACAUCAGGAGGUUAGUGCAAUGGCAUAAGCCAGCUUAACUGCGAGACGGACAGGUCGAGCAGGUACGAAAGUAGGUCAUAGUGAUCCGGUGGUUCUGAAUGGAAGGGCCAUCGCUCAACGGAUAAAAGGUACUCCGGGGAUAACAGGCUGAUACCGCCCAAGAGUUCAUAUCGACGGCGGUGUUUGGCACCUCGAUGUCGGCUCAUCACAUCCUGGGGCUGAAGUCGGUCCCAAGGGUAUGGCUGUUCGCCAUUUAAAGUGGUACGCGAGCUGGGUUCAGAACGUCGUGAGACAGUUCGGUCCCUAUCUGCCGUGGGCGUUGGAUGAUUGAAGGGAGUUGCUCCUAGUACGAGAGGACCGGAGUGAACGAACCUCUGGUGUUCGGGUUGUCACGCCAGUGGCACUGCCCGGUAGCUAAGUUCGGAAUCGAUAACCGCUGAAAGCAUCUAAGCGGGAAGCGAGCCCUGAGAUGAGUCAUCCCUGACCCCUUGAGGGUCCUAAAGGGCCGUUGGAGACCACAACGUUGAUAGGCGGGGUGUGUAAGUGCAGCGAUGCAUUGAGCUAACCCGUACUAAUUACCCGUGAGGCUUAACCAUACAACACCCAAGAAGUGUUCUG